ACAGUAGCGUCUGUCUGCAGUAAACAGGGCUCUUUUCAGGCCUUGGGCUCAGACAUAAGACCACUCUACCAGGGUGAAUGAAUUACUGUCAGCUGGGCCAUUCUCACUUAGGCUUAAACACAGGCAUUUUAGCUGCCAUUUGCCAGGAGCCAAGAGCUGCUCAGGUGGCAUUUGUUAUCCAUGUGCCACAUGACCAGCAAACCUGCAGCAGUGUCCCCAGCAGCAAUCACCCACCCCAUGGGACACACUGCAGGACCCCAGCCUUCACCCCCACAAGGAACACCUCUCAGAGACAAGAACUGGUGCCUAAAUGAAGCAAUGCUUAUCUCAUGCAUGCCACAGGUGUGAUGUCAUCCCCUCUGGCACAGGAACCAGGAUGUCUACAGCCUCCACUAUACAAAAAUGCAGGAACUAAAGUUAACGUGUCGCAGAUUUUGUUAUAAUAUGGUGAUAAUUAAAAAACAAAAUUACCACUACAAAGUGAAUUCCUCUCUGAGUUCUUACAAGCAAGUUUUUAAUUUGCACCAAAAAUUUACAUUUCAGAUUUCAAGUCAACCAGGAAUGGUACAAGCUUGGUCAGGGACUCCAGGCUGGUGAGUUCUGCAAGGCCUAGGGGCAGGAGCACUGUGGUUUCCCCAGAAUAUCACAAACAUAUAGUUGCCAGCAAACCCCAGGUGCACACAGAAUCAAUCUGGAGCUGAAAACAUCCCCGUAGGAAGUGUACACAUCUCUGCUUCUACAGGAACAGAAACAGCAAUAACUUCAGGUCCUGUAAGCUGCAAGUUCAACUUACAGAGAUGAGCCCUGACUUGUCAUCGCUCUCAGCAUGUUGGUGAUGAGAUCAGAGCCCUUCACCAAGGACUCAUACUUCCAGCUUGACAAAGGACAGAGCACUGGCAUGGUAAAAGAAAAAAUUCAGCAGCCCUCCAAUAUACUAGACAUCAUGAAGUAGAAUCUGAAACAAAAGUAUCUGCUGUUGGAUGUUUAGACAGGAAUGAUGUUGGCACAAGAGAUGGUGCACGGGAAGGACGGUGAGAGGAGGCAGAAAGGCACUGCUACACUUCCAGAGCAACGAUCCAACAAUCCAGAGUAAGAAGAUGGCAGCAAGGGCAUUGCUGCUUAGAAGGGUAAAGAUGGACAGAUUACAUCAGUUGUCCAGGAGAAUCUGAACGUGAUGAGCUGUCUCUCACAAGCCCCCUCUGCCCCCUGUACAACUGCACCACCCAACUAAAAACACAGCUUUCAGAAUGCUGAUCUCAUUGCACUACUUGUCUUCAUUAAGCAUUCGUUAUACUAUUCUCUCUGAACUAGAGUGGUCCCACACCUUGAAUGUCUGUGAAUUCUAAUAAUUGGAGUCAAACUAAUCCCGAGGCUUUCCACACAUCUUAAGUUUUCCCCAGGCGUGCUCCCAGAACAACUCUACUUUGGAAAGCCACUUCAACUGAAUCUUCUGUUAAAAUUCCUAAAAAUUACUUACAAACUCAGAAUGCCUUUCUGCUGCUUAUUAUUAUUUACCAACAAAAUUAAACUUAUUUUUCCAUCUCUA